UGCAGAAACUUUGAAGGCAUUGGAUCAAUCAUUACAAUCCUUGGGCACAACUGGCCUCAUCUUGUAUCUGGUUAUUGCCUGUGAAAAGAAAGGCUCGGAGUGAUUUCACGCACUCAAGAAAGGUAAACCAGUCAUCCGACAGAUAUUUGCAGCGUGUUCCUCUGCCCAAGCAUUGCAGACCCAUGCCCAUUCUUACAACGUCUGGAUAUGUAACGCCUGCUCCCACUCCCCCUCCCUGGUGCUCGAGGGUGCCAGGCUACCCGUCAUCAUACGCACCUGUUACCAUCAUUACGCUCAGCUGUGCUCACUGGACUCCCUCACUUUGUUGAUUUCCCCUGCAUAUAUGUCUGCUCCUCUAGGUUGUUCCCUGUUGUAGCAUUGUUUGUCGUGUCAUGAUUAUGUCCAGACACUGUUCUUGUUCCGUUGUAUGUCUGUCUAUAUUAAAUGGUUCUGUCCCUGUA